AUGCCAACUGUCAGCAAGUAUGUCAACAACAUUUUUCAUCAUGUUUGUCUCUACAACGUUAUGAUGCAUGUUCAACAUGUAUAUGACAUGCAAGCUCGAGAAAGAUUUGUGCCCCCAAGUUAUGUAUCUGGACCCUCGAGUAAGAUGAUAGAUGAACCUUCUGAGAGGAAACGACGACAUAUGCGGGAACAAUAUGCAAACAUGCCAAAGCAUGACAAAGAAGUUGUCUUGUGUAGGAAUCAUGCAUAUAAGAUAGGACGGCGGCGUACCACCCCAUUAUCCGAACAAUCUUACAUCGCCGAUGUCGCGGGUGGGUCCAAAUUGCACUCACCAAGUACACCUUCCAUACCGACACAACCAUAUGGAUAUAGCUCCACUGGUUUUGUCCAUAGGCUUUUCUUGGAGUGCAUGUGUUGGUUUCAAGAAGAGUUUGUGUCGAUCAAGGUGAUAUUCAAGGAAUUACCUAAAGAGUGGUCUUGUGAGAGGCUGAUCAAGACUAAGUCAAAGAGUGAAUCAAGUUGA
rnacentral:rRNA from 1 species